rnacentral:rRNA from 1 species
UACAGAGGUGCCGAGCGUUAUGCGGAAUCACUGGGCUUAAAGCGUGUGUAGGCGGAUCGUUAAGUGUCUUGUGAAAUCCCACGGCUCACCCGUGGAACUGCUGGGCAUACUGGCGAUCUUGGGCCAUUCAGGGGCAACUGGAACAAGCGGUGGAGCGGUGAAAUGCGUAGAUAUCGCGUGGAACGCCGACGGUGAAAACAGGUUGCUGGGGAUGUGCUGACGCUGAGACACGAAAGCCAGGGGAGCGAACGGG